UAUACAUUGUGGUUAAUUGGAAAAUGCUUUUACAUUUUUUACAUUGAGAUAUCACUCAAAAGUCAUUAUCUAACACAAAGUUUCUAGUCUAUUUGAGUUCAAUCUAGAGCUAUAUACCGUUGAAUGUACUCAUUAAAUACGCAGAAGCUCAAAUCUUAUAACCACAUAAAAACCUUAUUAGAUUUUGCACAUCAAGGAGCAGGUUAUGGCAUAUGCUGUUUUGAAAUUUGUUUCUUCCUUGGCUUUUUCUCAUAUAAAGUUAUUGUCUUAUAUAAAUUUAAGAGUCAUAUUCGUCUUCAGAAAAUUUAACCAUUUUGAAGCUUUGCAUGUAAUUUUUCAGAUUAUUUCAAUUUUUAUGUUUAUUUGUUCGAUGAUCCUAUAUUUGUUUACGGGAAGCCUUUGUUUAUGAGUCUUAAUAUCCAAACAUGAUGUCAUAAGAUAUUCAUAAUGAUACAACCUCUGAAUGAGUUUUAACAAUUUGCCUUUGAACCAAAAGCAUUGGAAAAGUUUCAUGAAUAUCACAAUCAUAUGCCAUAAGGCUCCCAGUGUAUAGUUGACUGCCAGUGAAUUGAUACUAUCCGGAAUUAUGAGUUUGAACCUCAACUACAAGAUUUUUGGUGCCAUUUUGGUUAUUUUUCCACUGGAAAUUGCAUCAUAUUGAGCUUGACUAGGAUGUGGUCAGGUUUAAAUUUAGUCAACCUAAAAAAUUGUUAGUUAACUACUUAUUGGAUGAUCGACUUCUUGUAGUUAUUUGGGUGCAGAAUCUUUAACUUGAUUGUUCUUUACAUAGAUUUACCUUGAUCAAGACAGAACUAAGUUGUUUUAAGGUUCAUCAAAAUAGAAUCUGCCAGGAUUGAGACUUGGGGGAUCUGCUUUACUUUUGGCUUUGUUAGCAUAGGGGAAAUUUCAUAAAUUUAUCUGAACAUAAUUGCUAACAUGAGCCUUUUUUUUCGGAAAAAAUUAUUUUUAACCUUUAUGUUACUGCAGUUUGUUCAAAUUCA
rnacentral:misc_RNA from 1 species